rnacentral:rRNA from 1 species
UGGAGUGAGUGGCGAACGGGUGAGUAACACGUGAGUAACCUGCCCCCUUCUUUGGGAUAACGCCCGGAAACGGGUGCUAAUACUGGAUAUUCACUGAUCUUCGCAUGGGGGUUGGUGGAAAGGUUUUUUCUGGUGGGGGAUGGGCUCGCGGCCUAUCAGCUUGUUGGUGGGGUGAUGGCCUACCAAGGCUUUGACGGGUAGCCGGCCUGAGAGGGUGACCGGUCACAUUGGGACUGAGAUACGGCCCAG